GACUCUCGGCAACGGAUAUCUCGGCUCUCACAUCGAUGAAGAACGUAGCGAAAUGCGAUACUUGGUGUGAAUUGCAGAAUCCCGUGAACCAUCGAGUCUUUGAACGCAAGUUGCGCCCCAAGCCUUCUGGCCGAGGGCACGUCUGCCUGGGUGUCA
rnacentral:rRNA from 1 species